ACCACCCACUGCAGCCGCACAUCAAGGGAGGAAGUCAUUCUCCCUCCCUUAAGCGCAUCACCUUCUGCAUCGGCGUCGGCGUAUACCCAAGUAGCAACCGAAGCUUUUUUCUCCCAGUUUCAACCCCCUCUUGUCCAAAAACAUCCUUCGCUCACUAUUCCUAUCCCAUUUCUACAUUCUACAACGUUUGUUGCGUUCUCGCUCAUCAGGGUGUUAGUCAAUUCUCUCUUGCCACACGAAGAGAAUUCUCCUGCACACUUGUGUGUUUGAUUCUACCCAUCCCUGUUGAACACAAGUCAUUUUCUUCCAUCACACUCAUCAGGGUGUUUGCUCUUUUCCAUCCAAGCCAAAGAGCGACUUCAGUGUGCUCUGAACCGUGGACGUGAGAGUGUGUGUUUGUGUGCUGCGUGAACUAUUUUUCCUGCGUAAAACACUUUCCCGUACUGCACCAUCCACGGUGUUCUUUCUGCUUCAUCGGAGGACGAAUUUUUAUCAUCUAAUUGUUUGGUUUCAGAUGUGUGCUGUUACCGCAAGCUGUUCUCCAAACCUCUUCAAAUUGCAACACUGUGUGCGCAGGCGUUCAAGGUUCAAUUGAUCCUCAAGCACAAAGCAUUCAUACAACACCGCGGUUGAGGCGCGCCAAAUUUGAUGACAUCUUCCCGGAACCAAGCAGGCUGAACAUGCGCAUCACCAAACGGGCUCCAGCGCGGUGUGAAGAGAGAGGAAGAAGAGAAGACAGAAUUGGAAAUAGCCGCGCCAGUCUACCAACCACCGUGUGUGUGUAUGUAAAUAUGUGAGAACACAUGUGUGAAUCCUAUUGUGGGAACUGCAAAAAGAAGAGAAAUAAAGAGUGUGAAGCAGCUAUCAUCAUCAGAAGCAAAAUACUAUGCUCGCAAACAUUAUUGUCACAAAUUUACUCAACACAGUUUUCUGAAUUGGUCGCCGUACCAAUCGUUUAACACGUGCAGGCUGAUGGCAGGUUCCAGGGCCUGACAGUAAACUUUCCCACUUGCCAGUGGCAGGCCCUGGAGCCUGCCAUUGGCCUUUUGCUAGGGAAACAAACAACAUUGUGAACAACUACAUUUAUUUAUUUAUAUGGUCUAGUCGGAAUAGUUAUAUUUAA